UACGUAGGGAGCAAGCGUUGUCCGGAAUCAUUGGGCGUAAAGCGCGCGUAGGUGGCCUCGUAAGUCCGCUGUGAAAGUCAAAGGCUCAACCUUUGAAAGCCGGUGGAUACUGCGGGGCUAGAGUACGGAAGAGGCGAGUGGAAUUCCUGGUGUAGCGGUGGAAUGCGCAGAUAUCAGGAGGAACACCAAUAGCGAAGGCAGCUCGCUGGGACGUUACUGACACUGAGGCGCGAAAGUGUGGGGAGCGAACAGG
rnacentral:rRNA from 1 species